UACGUAGGGUGCGAGCGUUAAUCGGAAUUACUGGGCGUAAAGCGUGCGCAGGCGGCUUUGCAAGACAGAUGUGAAAUCCCCGGGCUCAACCUGGGAAUUGCAUUUGUGACUGCAAGGCUAGAGUACGGCAGAGGGGGAUGGAAUUCCGCGUGUAGCAGUGAAAUGCGUAGAUAUGCGGAGGAACACCGAUGGCGAAGGCAAUCCCCUGGGCCUGUACUGACGCUCAUGCACGAAAGCGUGGGGAGCAAACAGG
rnacentral:rRNA from 1 species